rnacentral:rRNA from 1 species
AGAAUCAACGCUGGCGGCGUGCCUCAGACAUGCAAGUCGAACGCGAAAGUCCCCUUCGGGGGAUGAGUAGAGUGGCGCACGGGUGAGUAACACGUAGGUAAUCUACCUUUGGAUGGGGAAUAACAACCGGAAACGGUUGCUAAUACCGCAUAAUGCAGCGGCACCUAAUGGUGACAGUUGUUAAAGCGGGGGAUCGAAAGACCUCGUGUCUGAAGAGGAGCCUGCGGCGGAUUAGCUAGUUGGUAAGGUAACGGUUUACCAAGGCGACGAUCCGUA